AUUUAGAGGAAGGAGAAGUCGUAACAAGGUUUCCGUAGGUGAACCUGCGGAAGGAUCAUUGUCGAAACCUGCCUAGCAGAACGACCCGCGCACGAGUUAAAUCAACCCUACGGGGGCCCAGGCCCCCCUCCCCGGUCGAAGGGGUGCGCGUCCUCGCGUGCUUCCCGGCCGGACGAUGAACCCCGGCGCGAUUUGCGCCAAGGAACUCACAACAAAAGCUCGGGCUGCUGUCUCCCCGGCUCCCGGGAGAGCGGUUGUCCUCGGUGCCUUUAGCAAAGAGAAAAAUUAAAACGACUCUCGGCAACGGAUAUCUCGGCUCUCGCAUCGAUGAAGAACGUAGCGAAAUGCGAUACUUGGUGUGAAUUGCAGAAUCCCGUGAACCAUCGAGUCUUUGAACGCAAGUUGCGCCCGAAGCCAUUAGGCCAAGGGCACGUCUGCCUGGGCGUCACGCAUCGCGUCGCCCCCCAAACCCCGCUCCCGGCAUCGGGGCGUGGCUGUUUUGGGGGCGGAUAUUGGCCUCCCGUGGGCGACAUAGAGAACGCGGCUGGCCGAAACAAGAGUCCCCCGAAGUGGCGGGCGUCACGACAAGUGGUGGUUGAACGGCCCCUGGCCACGGAAUUGUCCUGUCGUGCGUACGUCCAUCCGGCGGAGAGCUCCCGGUGACCCCUCACGUGCCGUCCCCGACGGUGCUCCGACCGCGACCCCAGGUCAGGCGGGACUACCCGCUGAGUU
rnacentral:rRNA from 1 species